GAGGUACCUAAAUUAAUACAAAGAACAAUUUAGUCAAACAAGGCUUUCAAUUUCAUAAAGCUUUCAUGAAAUAAGUGGGUCAUUCUCAACUGUAGAAAUAAAAACAGGCACACCCAUUCAACCACCCAAGCUACACUUUAUCACAAAUGAAGCUACAAAUAAAUGAAAACUAGUUCUCAAGCACCAUCUCCACUUUUUCCCCUCCACAAUUAUUGGACUCCAAGAAACUAGAACACCCUCUUUCUUUGAAUAUGAGCAACUUGUCAAAAUAGUAUAGUUUUGACUGAUUUCAUUUUUGUUCCUGUAGAUAAUCACACCUCUGAAACAGGUGCUAAAGCCACCAUGGGCCCAACAGGCCAGUUCUGUUUUGUAUAAAGAACUCUUGAAACUCCAAGAAAACAAGUAACUGAAUUUAAAAAUCAGCAAAAGACCUGAACAUACAUCUCACCAAAAAUAUACUGAUGGCAAGUAAGAUAUGAAAAGAUGUUCAACAUCAUUAUCAUGUCAUUAGAGAACUGCAAAUUAAAACAAUGAUGCCACACCUAUUAAAAUGGCUAAAAUCCAAAAUGCUUGACAAUACCAAAUGCUAACAACGUGGGGCAACAGGAACUCUUUUUUUUUUUUUUUUUUUUUUUUGCUGGCGGGAAUGCAACAGGAUAAUCACUUUGGAAGACAACUUGGUGGUUUUUUACAAAGCUUUUCAUACAAUCCAGUAAUUGUACUCUGGACAUUCACCCAAUUGAGAUGAAAACUGAGGUCCACACAAAAACCUGUAAACAAAUGUUUACAGCAGUUUUAUUCACAACUGCCAAAACCUAGAAGCAACCAAGAUAUACUUCAAUAGGCAAAUGGAUAAACUGUAGUAUAUCCAGACAUGAAAUAUUAGUCAUAAAAAGAAAUUAUCAAGUCAUGAAAAGACAUGAAGGAAACUUAGACAUGCUAAGGGAAAGAAGCCAGUCUGAAAAGAUUCCACACUAUAUGAUUCCAAAUAUAUGACAUUCUGGAAAAGACAAAACUUCUACAAAGACAAUAAAAAAGUAUAGUGGUUGCCAGGGAUUUGAGGGGUGGGGGUAAAGGAGUAGUGAUGAUAGGUGAAGCAGAGGGGAUUUUUAGGGCAGUGUGACACUGUAUGACACUACAAUGGCAGAAAGAGGACAUGUAUUCACCAAAACCUAUAGAACUGUACAACACAAAAAGUGAUUCUUAAUAUAAACUAUGAACUUUAGUUAAUAAUGUAUCCGUAUUGGUUCAUUAACAAAUGUAGCUCCGCUAAAUGUGAGAGGUUAAUAGAAGACACUGCAGGGGAGGGAAGUAUAUAGGAACUCUGUACUAUCAAUCUCAAUUCUGUAAAACUAAAAAUGUUCCUUUAAAAAGUCUUAAUUUUUUAAAGUUUAUGCCAUAUUUAGCUUUAUUAUUUACUCAGGAAUGAAUUUAAUAAUAAUGUCUAACUUUAUUUAAAUGCUUACUGACAAUUAAAGGCUAUAUAUCUUAUUAACAGAAAUCAGGCUUAAAGCUAUUUCUGACCAUUUCUCCUUCCUUUACACCAUAGUUUUGAGUCACCAAAACCUGUCAACCAUUCCUUUAACGUAUCUGUAUCAUUCUCAUUGUUUUUCUUAAAAAACAAAAAGCAAGCUUCUUUUGUGAUUAUGUUAGUUACAAAUUUAGAAAACAGAAAAACAUACAGAAAAAGUAUACAGAGAUUAAUCACUAUUAUAUUAAUCUAUUAUAUACCACUGUUGCUUCUUCUGUGUCCUAAUUUUUAUGAAAGGGGCACCCACCUCCCAUUUUCUCCAUUUAUCUUUGACUCUUCCCUUUCCUUGCUUAUAGCCUGCCAACAAGUCCUACAGAUCCUUCUUUCCAGUAUCAAGGUCUGUAACUCCUACUAUAAGUAUUAUUUUAAUCCUGGCCAUCACUAUACACUACACUAAUGAAGAUGUUAAGAACAUCCAACUGCUCUUUCCUGUGCUCAAAAUACUAUGUUCUUUGUAUUACUCUUAACACUAAAGACACUCAGAGUCUUCCCAAUAUACUAAGGCCUUCAUCCCAGUUUCCAAAGCCCAUCAGUUCCUCAUCUUGCAGAAGAAUAAACUAUAGCAAUAUUGAUUUGCCUCUUCCAAUAACAUUAUCUGUGCACAUUCCCUCACACUUCCCCUGCUAUUCUCUCUCCUCCAAAAUAACCAAAUCUCUACCCAAAUGGCGAGUUUCUUCUCUUUCAUGAAACGUUCUCUAAUUUAAGGCCAUAUUCUUUAUCCCUCAUAAAGGGAUAUCCUCUUAAGGGAUAUUCUUUAUCCCUUAAGAACCAAGGAACAUUUAGCAUUUGAUUAUAUUAACCUAAAAUUAUGGAUUAUUUCCAAGUUACUCUAAUUGUUUCUUGCAUCUAAAUCUUGUCUACUCAAUAAGAAUAAGCAAAAACCACCCAGAUGUCUUUUAUUCGUUUAUUUUCUGUAAUUUGGACUGUAAUAUUUUUGUAAUAAUUUUUCCACUAACUUCAUCUGUUUAAGAAGAAACUGCUAGGAGAUUGAUAAUGAACUCCAUUAAUAUUAAAUAACUAUGCUGAAUUUUAAAAAGGAAUAGUAGCCUUUUUUACUCUUCUCUAACAGAGCAAAAUAACCCUGAAUAGUUUCAAUGAAAUAUACCACGGUAUUUUAGAAAUGUUUUAUUUUUUUAAUAUUUAUUUUUGAGAGAAAGAGAGAGCAAAAGCAGAGGAGGUGCAGAAAGAGAGGAAGACACAAAAUCCAAAGCAGGCUCCAGGUUCUGAGCUGUCAGCACAGAGCCCAACACGGGGCUUGAACCCUCAAACUGUGAGAUCAUGACCUGAGCUGAAGUCAGAUACUUAACCCACUGAGCCACCCAGGUGCCCCUAGAAAUGUUUUAAAAAUAUGUGUACAGUUUAACCAUUUCAAUUAAGAAAACAUGCAUCUUCUACAUUACUUACUACUGCCAUUACUGGGAUAAAUGCCAUUACCGGUAGUGGCAUAUUUAUAAUCAUAGUACCCCAGAAAUAGAAUCUCAGGAGGUAGAAAAAAGCCUAAUCUCAUACAAAAUGCUUCUGAAGACCACUUGAAAUCUUCCUCGAAAACCCGUCCAUUAUGAACUUUACCAAAAUAUCUACUUGCAAUGUGUUAGUCUAUUUAAAUAUUAUUUCAGGUAUAGUUAUAUUCUGUAUCUAACCAAUUCCUGAAAUGUUAGGACUACUUUACCUUUUACAUUUUUAAAUUCCUAACAGAGCACUAAAAAUUAUAGUUAAGUGUGAACAUUUAACCCACAAAGCAACAAUAUGAGUAGUUGUAUUCUUCCUGAUAUUACAUAUGAGGAAGGGAUUAGUACUUCAACACUUAUUUGGUUUUUUUAAUUUAAUUUUUUUAUUUUUAAUGUUUAUUUAUUUUUGAGAGACAGAGCAUGAACGGGAGAGGGUCAGAGAGAGAGGGAGACAGAGAAUCGGAAGCAGGCUCCAGACUCUGGGCUGUCAGCACAGAACCCGAAGCAGGGCUUGAACUCACAGACUGUGAGAUCAUGACCUGAGCCGAAGUUGGACGCUCAACCGACUAAGCCACCCAGGUGCCCCCAACACUUAUUUGUAAUCAUCUUCCCCUCAUUUGAAUUCCCCAUAAAGAAAGUUAAGGCAGACUAAGAGUCUAGGUUCCAUUUUCCUCUUCAUCAUUAAUCUUUUUUUAUCUGAAAUACUGAAUGCCCAUAAUUUAGCAUUUAAUUAUAUGAUGUUCCUCUGAGGAAUUGAUUCCUGUCCAUAUUUAUGCCUUCUCUAGCCAUUAAGAUUAUAAGCCACCCAAGGAGUCAUUUAAGUCUCAAGCUAAUAGAGAUCUCUCUCUAUUGAAUACUACAGGACCUCAGGAGACACUUGCCUCUACUAAAUUUGGCACUUUAUUCUAAGAUAGACUUCUCUUUCAAGUUUGAUCCAGUUCUAGUAAGACUUCUAAACUAAAAAUGGCAAGAAUUAGGGGCACCUGGGUGGCUCAGUCAGUUAAGUGUCCGACUUCGGCUCAGAUCAUGAUGUCACAGUUCAAGAGUUCGAGCCCUGUGUCGGGCUCUGUGCUGACAGCUCAGAGCCUGGAGCCUGCUUCCGAUUCUGUGUCUCCCCCUCUCUCUCUCUGCCCCUCCCCUGCUCACACUCUGUGUGUGUGUGUCUCUCUCUCAAAAUAAUAAUUUUUUUAAAAAUGGCAAGAAUUAGGUACCAAGGUUAGAUUCUUAAGGCUUCUACAAGUAACCUUCUAGACUACCUGUUUCUGACAAAAAAGCUCCAGAGUAGGCUAAAGCCACCCUAUAAAUACUAAUAUUGUCUCAAACCUCAACUAUGCCUUACUUCUCUUAUCCUCGAAUUAUUUCAGCAGGAGGGAAUGGAAGAAUUUGAGUCUACUUUGAAACUUAGAACAAUCUUGCAAGAGAUUAGCAUAGAGCAUUCAUAACUAGUAGACAUAAUAAUUUUUCCUUUGAUUUACAAGAUGCUACCUGGCUAGUACUUACUUGAUCUGUUCAGCUGAUCCUCCAGAAGUUGCAUUUGUGAUGGCCCAAGCUGCUUCUUUCCUUGUCCGAAACUCAGCAGUUUGUAAUAUACUAAUGAGGGCUGGGAAAAUGUUGGCAUCUAUCACAGUCUGAAAUUUAAAAAUUAAAUGAAAAGGGAAAUUACAAAACUUGCAAAAAUUUCAUGAUACUAAUUAUAACUUUUUAGCUAGCUUCACUAAUGACACGCCUCCCUCCUUUAAAAAUUAACUAGAAGAAGUCCUCUCACCCCUGACCUUUCAACUGUACUUGGUACACUGAUAACUCUCCCUGGAGUCUAUGUUCUUAUAAUCUCCUAGUUUUCUGCCCAAGUUCUUUUCUCUUUGACUGUCCUCUCUCAUUUCACCCACAGUAACAAAUUAUGGAAGUUCAAUUUUCUGUUCCUCUGCUAGUCUCAUUUCUUUCACAGCAUCCAACUCCGACACUUGUGAUGUAACCCUCCAGUCCUCACUUUUGGGCACCCCAGCCCAUGAUAGCCAACAAUCUGCUUUAGAUCGGCUAAUCACUUCAAACAUAUCAUCUACCCUCUAUAUCAGGUCAGGUCUCCUCUCAAAGUUCUUUUUGUAUUUACAAAGGCUCUUUUUUGUAUUUAUUUAUUCUAAAUUUCAUCAGUCACUAAGUCUCUACAAUCUCAAUUUAAAACCUCCUGAGCCACCCUUUUCCUUCCCUUUUAGCACUGCCACAAUCCUAUUCCAGCCUACCAACUCCCACCCAGAUUACCAGCACAGCCUAUAGUUAGGCAGAGUACUUUUACUCACCCCCUCUCAUAUAUAAACACUAAAAUAGUCUGCUUCAAAUUACUUUUUUCAUGUUUCUCCUUAGCUCAAGAACCUAAAAUGGGUUCGUAUAAUUUCCUAUAUCAAGAAACUGAGAAACUCUAUAUAAGACACGAACAGCAGCAGAUUUCUAGAACACUCCUGUGAUGAAUCAUGGCUUGUCAUGGUGGUAAAACUGAGGCCCUGAAUGUAAGACCAAAGGAAAAAAUGGUAUUCUUUGACCUGCUUUUCUUUGCUUCAUUUUUUUACCUGCUCCUGGACAUCUUCAAACUCUGAGCUGAGCAACUCUAUGAAGAUGGGCACAGCUCCUGCCUGAAUCACAAUCCGGGUCUGAAGAGAAUUUCCUGAAGCAAUAUUUGUCAGUACCCAAGCUGAUUCAAACUAUAAAGAUAAAAAUAAUUUUAUUAUCUUAUUAGCAUUUAAUAGCUUGUUUUUAGCUAUAACAAUAAGGUUUUCUGUACAUGAAGAAAAGAAUCUGAAAUCAUUAUUUGCACAUAAUCAGAUGGAUUCUGUAUUACUUUUAAAUGGAGAAUUCCAGUAGAAAUACUUCAGACUACAAGAAUAUUCAGGAGGUCAAAGUAGAACUGACAUAAGACCAUGAAUGGAAUGAGGGACUGCUUCAUAUGCUGACAUGAAUGAUCUCCCAAGAUACGAAUGAGAAGAAAAGUGUAACGGUGUACAUUAAGAUAGUAUCAUACUAUAUUUUCUAAAAGGGUUAAGAAGCAAUAUAUGCAUUAGUUUAGUUAUUGCACAGAAUAUCUCUGGAAGGAUACUAUAAGAAACUGUAAGAAGUAAGUACUUGUUACCUACAUGGAAAGGCAGGGGUGAAAGGGAAAUCUCAUAAAACCUUAUGUACCUUUUGGAUUAAACCAUGUAUAUUAUCUAAUAAAAAAUAAAAGUAAAUAAUUUCUAUAGGAUAAGCAAAGUGUAAAGGGGAGAGGAUGUUAAUGUAAAAUGUGCCGGAUAUAGGCACAGUAAAAAAGGCAAAAGAUAUUUUAAGUAAUAAGUAGGCCAAAAGGAGUUAACUGGUAUAUAAUUAAUAGAAUUGGCAACUUCAGAGCGUUAAGAGCUUCUGACAAAUGAGAAGCCCCCAAACAAAGGCACAGAGUUUAAAACUUUUUUUAGAGAGCAUUCUUAAAGUUAAGUAAACUGAAGAUAUGAAGGAAAUUAUAGCCAACAAAAAGUACAGCAUUUUACUAAUCUGCCCAUCUCUGUACUAAUUUGACUGUCUGGCCUAAUAUGGAGAAAUCCAAGAAUGACUCCUGAAAUUCUAUUUAAGAGUUCUUAUUAAACUUUAGUUUUCUUUCCUUCUCCUGUUCUGUCUUCUACUUAUCCUUAAAUGAAGCACAUAUGCAAAAAAAAAUCAGUGGUAUGUCCCUUGAAAGGGAGAGCAAAAAAGUCAUUGAAAGGUGGAGCUGUGACUCUUCUAAAGCUUUUGGGUCAACUGAAAGGCAGUUGUCAUAUGGAAAACUAAAUCAUCCAUCAUUGGGGUUUGGGGAAGGAGGCAGAAGACAAGGAAGACAAUCUGAUUGGCAUAGUCCAAAGCCAUGUGAAUGCUAGCAAAUUCACAGCAGAACACACUUAAAGGAGACAUUACAAGAAACCUAUAAAUGUGACAUACGCAAGUGAGACACAGUAUAGUCUAGUAGCCUAAUGGGACAAUGAUAUUACAGUAAGCAGAAGGCCCAGACUAGGAGCACCACAGUUAAAGGGACAAUAUUUUCUUUUUGGUAACUUUGUUAUAAGAGAAGUUCAACAGAUUCCUAAACACUUGAACAUCACAAAAUAAAAAUCCCAUCAUAUAUCACCUCCAUAAUUAAAUCACUCUUGAAACCAGUGCUGAAUUAAAACUUCGCAUUUGUUCAGUACUUUGUAUUAUGAAAGCAUUACUCACAUACUCCUGUGUUCCUCACAACAUCCCAGAGAAUUCUGGCUUUUGUGGUUUAUGAAUGAGGAAACUAUCAGAAAAAGGUCCAACAAUCUAAUGAUCUGCGUAAUGUUACACAGCCAUUCAAAGAGGACUUGAUUACCGUCUCCUGAUCAAGUAUGCUUAUGAAGCCCGGCCACUCCGUUCUCUCUGACACAUACCUGUAACACUGACAAGAAUCUUUCAAUUGCUUGGAGUUUUGGUAUCUAGGGCAAGAAAUUUCAAAUAACAGUAUGCCAGAGAUACAUGCCAGAUUAUUUAGGGGAUGCUAAAAAAGAGAACGGUUCACCUAGUUUCUUCUGCUUUCUAGGAAAACUAACUAGCAGAGUUAAAAUUGAUUAAGAGAGACAGAUGAUGUGAAUACAAAAGCCAAAAGCAAGUCUUCCUACCAGGCAGCAAGCUCCAAGUUUAACAAAGAGUUGUCAGAUACUAGUCAAAGUAAUGAAAACUGUGAGGAAAAAGCAGUGUGUAGAGAAUGAGUAAGAUCAGCAUACAUACCGAUCCAUAUUAAAGAGAAAACAGACUGCAGUGAGAUUUUGAUGCAAAUGAAAUAACAGCAACCUGAGUAAAGGAUUAUUAAAGAAUUAUCAAUGAGAAAAAAUCAGAAUACUAACUGCUGCAAGACUUCAAACUGCUAUCUGCCUGUUGAUGUUUAGUAUCAAAGGUCUUACAAGAAAUGAGAGGGAAUUUCAGAUGCUACUGAAAAGAAUGAAAUGGAGAAGCAAAACAAAAUAGAGUGAAAAUGAUUAGAAAAAUGGGGAAUAAGUGAAUAACAGGCUAAACACAGAUGGGAGAAAAUUGGCAAUUAGGAUAUCUCAGCAAAAGAAGAACGUACCAGAAUUACCUUUAUUACUAAGAAGUACACAAUAAUGAUAACCUCUGAAAGCAAAAUUCAAGGCCUCCCUUGGUAAGAAGAGAAAUCGGAAAAUACCAGGGACAGAGACAGAUGAAGAUGAUCAACAGAACCAGAGGGGCGACUGAAAAUCGUGUUUGUACAUGAAUAAAGCAUUCUCUCUCUCUCACGCACACACAGUGAUUACUCUGACAUUUACCCUGUAAAAACUCAUCAAGCUAUAUUUAUGCCACUUUCUAUGCCCAUCUGUGUAUUUGUGUGCUAUGUACAUAUGUAGGAAUGAGAAAGAGGAGGGAGGGAGAAAAUUCCCCCCAGCAUACAGGCCCUGUUAAAGUGCUGGAAGAAACAACUUUCAAAUGUGUUUAAUAUGUAUGUUUGUAAAAAACUGGUUGUACUUCAAACUAUGUAACAUCUCUUUGAGUACUGCCAUCAUUUUGUUGUUGUUAAUGUUUCAGCCUUGGGUCCCAUAUUAGAAUCUAACGUGAAAGAGAGCUGUGAAAUGUGGACGUCCUGUUGCAAAAAUGACUGCAUAAAGUUAUGAUAGAAAUGGCCAGGAAAGGUAAUAUAAGUAACCGUGAAACUCAAAACAUCAGUAACAUGAUGAAUACAAUCUAAGAAAUGGCAUCACUUAAGUAAUAAGCAGUAGCCAAAGUACCUAUAACCCUUACUUCCUCUUUUUGCUUUAAACUACUAUAUUCUUAGUGUUCCAAGAAUGGUACCAUGCAAGGAAAACUACCUGUCAUGCUGUGAUUGCUUAAAAAUUAUCAGUCCACUAUUACUUUUCACUGUCCAGACUUGCUAAAUAAGGCUACAGUUGAAAUCUGAAGGACACACUGAAGAUUUGAUACUUUCUCUCUUCCCUUUCUCAGUCUCUACCUUCUGGUGCUCAGUUCCUUAAAUAAGGAAAAUGAGAAUCCAAAGCUGAAGUACUUCUGACCUCCUAUCAAGUUUCCCACUCCAGGUUGAGGUGAACCUGAUUAUUUUUCAGGUGUCCGAUGAUCCUGGCCUUAGAUGGGGACCAGAAUUACAAUCCAAGAGGCAGCCACCAAAACAGAAUCCUAAUUCAAAUGAACUUGGGGAUUAGUCAGUGUCAAACUGGAGAAGAAAAACUGAUGGGACAUUGAAGUACUCUACCUUUUCUGGAUUUCUUGUUUUUCUUCUGGAAAUAACUCAUCACCGCAACAAAGAGAGUAAGAGGAGGAGAAAAGUCGGGAUGGGAGGAAAGGAGAGAAAAUAUCAAGACAAGGCAUCAAGUUUUAUGAAUUACCUACAAUCCUCUGGAGAGUAAGGAACCUGGGGACAGAGGUUAUUAUCAUUUAUAAAAAUGUCCCCCUCCCUACAGCCUCAGAGAAUAAGGCAAAAGCAGACAAGAGGGUGAAAGUUACCUUUACGAUUAACUUGUUAUUGUCAGAUAUACUUGGAAAAUUAACCUCAUUUUGUGAUCCACUUUGUACCUAACCAAUUUUUAUAGUUGCAGAGUCUUUCUAAAGGGCCACGCCCUUCAGAUUAGAUCCUAUAAGUGAGAAUUUAGAUAUCACAGGUAUUGGUUAAAGAAUAACACAGAAACUGAUUCAAUUGGUUACUCCAAGGAAGUACAGCUACUGAAAAAUUGCCAGUCUACUAAAACUCAACUUUAUUCAGGGAAAAAAAAAAAACCCAAAAACAGUAUUUAAAAAUUUCUAGAUAACUCCCAGGACGAGUCAGUUGACAGGUGGUUCUCUUUACUGUGAAAACUAUCCAAUCCAGAAGUUGCAGAAUUUCCUCUUAGAACCCCUAUAUAAUACAGUACUGACAGACUAAAUUAACACAGCAGGAAGCAUGGAGAUUCAUAAGGCUAUCUCCCUGGAAACUCUUCAGGGGAAUGGGAAGAAUUAACUGGAACCAGGAUUGGGGAUUACUGAGUCUAACCUAGCCCAUGUUACACAGCCCUGACAAAGCCGACCAAUGUAAUCUAAAAAUCUUCCAAAACCAAUUUUAUGUAGCCCACACUUAGAUUCUUAUAGUGACUCUUCAACUGCAAACGAUUCCCUAUUAAAUGUUAUCCACAAUCAUCAUAAAAUAAUCUUCAUGAUAAAAAUGACAUGAAUUCUAAAGAGUAAAACCAAGGGCCUAGAUGUUGACAAAGCUAUCAAAAGCAGCUUGCAACGUGGUUGUCAGGAACAUCAUAUCAAAAACGAACCCACUGUAUAAAUUAACCUAAGUAACAAAUCUGUAUAUAAAAUGUAAGUUUGUAAAGGGAUUUAAAAUAUGAGGCAAGAAAUGAAAAUGGUUCGCACCUGCAGUGUACAAUUCUCUUUUCGUUUGAGGAACUCCACAAACCUGGCCACUACUCCCGGUGUGCUGAUGACUUCAUCAAUAGGAGGAUUAGGUUCUGUCUCCCCAUAAAAUAAAAGGAAAGAAGAAAAUAAUUCUUUCAUUUCAAUGCAAGGACUUUAUGAGCUCAAAUUUACUUCAUAAUAUCCCUCCCUCCAUUUUAGCAUCUCUUUCAUGUUGGAAAUCUAAGAAAUAAAAUGUAAAAUUCUAAAUGUAAAAUGGAGCACAGUCACUUUGAGACUAGGGUAGCUCAAAAGGUUUCACAAUAAAGUACGCGUUAACAUGGAAAUGAUGGGCAGAAUUCUCAAAAAUUAAAGCCAUUGCUUCUAUAAUUUUAGAAAACUUAAGAAAGUAGGGGGGAAAACAUCCAAAGAUGACCACUGUUAUUAUUUCAGAAUUCUUCCUUCUAGCCCCUUCUCUGUAGAUGGGGUUUUACUCUAACAAGAAGUUGUUUUAAUAAACUGGAUUAGGUGACUCUGCAUGUGCCUGCAGGAUUUAAUUUUACAGCUGCAGUGUUAAAUAGGAGCCAGAAAUAAUUCAUUAAGGAUGACUUGCCAACUUAAUCUCACUUUUCAUUUACGACAACAGAGUAUUUUAUAAAUGAAAUCAUUUGGUAGAAACCUGUUGGGUUAACAGAAAAUGUCCUAAACAAUCAACAUGGUAAUUUCAGCAAGAGAUUUGACAAAGUUCUUGAUGAUAUUCACAGAGCGAUGCAAGAAAAAUGACAGAUUAUAGUACUAGUAGGGAUUCUUAGACAAGUCCAAAGCUUUAAUGAAACAAAGGUGAUUAAUGGUUCAAUGUUAAUUUGGAGAGCGGUCUGAUGACCUGUUCUUUGCCUGGUUCCACACUUUUAUCAACUAUUCAGGUAGUACAAAUAAAUUUGAUGAUUAUAAUAAAGAUGAAGUAAUUAAUAUGCUAGAUUACAGAAAUAACAUAUAGGAAGAACAACAAUAAGCUGAAGUUUGCAAUAAAACAACGGGGAUAAAGCAGGAUUUAGCAACUGAAAUUUAUAAAAAUAUUUUAAAAAAUCUACAUGACUUCACAGAUGAAUCCUAAAACACAUGUGCAUGAAAAGAAGUUCUAUGGGAGUUUAGAUGGCUGCAAAUACAGUGAACCUUACUGUGCCAUGACUAUCAAAAUAACUGCUGCUAUCUUGGAGUACAUUACUGGAACGUACAGUCCUAGGACAAGGAAGGCAAUCUGUCCCCUCACCUUAGGGUAACGAGAACACAUCUGAAGUACUAUAUUCUAGUUACCACAUUUUUUAAAUGUUUAUUUAUUUUGAGAGAGGGCGUGCACACGCAUGUGUGCCAGGGAAGGGCAGAGACAGCGGAAGAGAGAGAAUGUCAAGCAGGCCUAUGCUCAGCAUGGAACCCCACAUGGGGCUCAAUCUCACAACCCUGAGAUCAUGACCUGAGCCGAAACCAAGAGUCGGAUGCUUAACCGACUGAGCCAUCCAGGUGCCCCUAGUUAUCACAUUUUUAAGAGGGAUGGCUAGGAAACUAGAAUCUAGGCAGUAAAGUAGUAGAAAGCAGCAAAAGGCCCUAAAAGGUCACAUGGUGUGAGAAAGCCAUUAGGCUUAGCACGCUGAAAAGAGACAAGAGGAGUGGGAAAAGUGUACAUGAUAAUAGCCUUCAAAUAUUAAUAAACUGUCACACGAGAAAUGUAAUUUUUGUAUCACACAAAAAUGUAAAUUAUAUGUUAUAGGUUUUUAUUCCAGUUCCCUCAAGGAAUAUAUUAAUUUAUCACUAAUGACUCCAAAAAACUAUACCUUAGUACUGGGCCAAGGGUAGCAGCUAUUUAUUUAAGGUCAAUGUUUACUAUCAACAUUUUAAUGUGGUUCAGAGUCAUAGUUCUGUUUACUUGCCCAGAAUGGCGAAAGUAUCAUAUUCUAGUCUACCCUAAUUAUACCAAAAAUAAAUAAAUAAUUACCAUGCCCAGCAAUAACACUGAUCUUUCAAAUGAUAUAUUUUUUUAAUUCUUUUUAUUUAUUUUUGAGACACAGAGACAGAGCAUGAGUGGGGGAGGGUCAGAGACAGAGGGAGACGCAGAAAGAAUCUGAAACAGGCUCCAGGCUCUGAGCUGUCAGCAGAGCCUGACACGGGGCUCAAACUCGUGAACCACGAGAUCAAGACCUGAGCCGGAGUUGGAUGCUUAACCAACUUAACCUAGGCACCUCUCAAGUGAUAUUUUGACAGUUUUUCUUGGGGUGCCAGGCUGGCUCAGUCAGUAGAGCAUGCAAACCUUGAUCUGAGGGUUUUGAGUUCGAGGCCCACAUAGAGAUUAUGUAAAAAUAAAAUCUUUAAAAAAAACAAACAAAAACACUUUGUUUUGUUUUUUU